rnacentral:rRNA from 1 species
GACGAACGCUGGCGGCGUGCCUAAUACAUGCAAGUAGAACGCACAGUUUAUACCGUAGCUUGCUACACCAUAGACUGUGAGUUGCGAACGGGUGAGUAACGCGUAGGUAACCUGCCUGGUAGCGGGGGAUAACUAUUGGAAACGAUAGCUAAUACCGCAUAAUAUUGAUUAUUGCAUGAUAAUUGAUUGAAAGAUGCUAUUGCAUCACUACCAGAUGGACCUGCGUUGUAUUAGCUAGUAGGUGAGGUAACGGCUCACCUAGGCGACGAUACAUAGCCGACCUGAGAGGGUGGUCGGCCACACUGGGACUGAGACACGGCCCAGACUCCUACGGGAGGCAGCAGUAGGGAAUCUUCGGCAAUGGACGAAAGUCUGACCGAGCAACGCCGCGUGAGUGAAGAAGGUUGUCGGAUCGUAAAGCUCUGUUGUAAGAGAAGAACGGGUGUGAGAGUGGAAAGUUCACACUGUGACGGUAUCUGACCAGAAAGGGACGGCUAACUACGUG